GGGUUGUGAGGUUAAGCGACUAAGCGUACACGGUGGAUGCCCUGGCAGUCAGAGGCGAUGAAGGACGUGCUAAUCUGCGAUAAGCGUCGGURAGGUGAUAUGARCCGUUAUAACCGGCGAUUUCCGAAUGGGGAAACCCAGUGUGWUUCGWCACACUAUCAUUAACUGAAUCCAUAGGUUAAUGAGGCGAACCGGGGGAACUGAAACAUCUAAGUACCCCGAGGAAAAGAAAUCAACCGAGAUUCCCCCAGUAGCGGCGAGCGAACGGGGAGSAGCCCAGAGCCUGAAUCAGUGUGUGUGUUAGUGGAAGCGUCUGGAAAGGCGCGCGAUACAGGGUGACAGCCCCGUACACAAAAAUGCACAURCUGUGAGCUCGAUGAGUAGGGCGGGACACGUGGUAUCCUGUCUGAAUAUGGGGGGACCAUCCUCCAAGGCUAAAUACUCCUGACUGACCGAUAGUGAACCAGUACCGUGAGGGAAAGGCGAAAAGAACCCCGGCGAGGGGAGUGAAAAAGAACCUGAAACCGUGUACGUACAAGCAGUGGGAGCCUCUUUAUGGGGUGACUGCGUACCUUUUGUAUAAUGGGUCAGCGACUUAUAUUCUGUAGCAAGGUUAACCGAAUAGGGGAGCCGAAGGGAAACCGAGUCUUAACUGGGCGUUAAGUUGCAGGGUAUAGACCCGAAACCCGGUGAUCUAGCCAUGGGCAGGUUGAAGGUUGGGUAACACUAACUGGAGGACCGAACCGACUAAUGUUGAAAAAUUAGCGGAUGACUUGUGGCUGGGGGUGAAAGGCCAAUCAAACCGGGAGAUAGCUGGUUCUCCCCGAAAGCUAUUUAGGUAGCGCCUCGUGAAUUCAUCUCCGGGGGUAGAGCACUGUUUCGGCAAGGGGGUCAUCCCGACUUACCAACCCGAUGCAAACUGCGAAUACCGGAGAAUGUUAUCACGGGAGACACACGGCGGGUGCUAACGUCCGUCGUGAAGAGGGAAACAACCCAGACCGCCAGCUAAGGUCCCAAAGUCAUGGUUAAGUGGGAAACGAUGUGGGAAGGCCCAGACAGCCAGGAUGUUGGCUUAGAAGCAGCCAUCAUUUAAAGAAAGCGUAAUAGCUCACUGGUCGAGUCGGCCUGCGCGGAAGAUGUAACGGGGCUAAACCAUGCACCGAAGCUGCGGCAGCGACGCUUAUGCGUUGUUGGGUAGGGGAGCGUUCUGUAAGCCUGYGAAGGUGURCUGUGAGGYAUGCUGGAGGUAUCAGAAGUGCGAAUGCUGACAUAAGUAACGAUAAAGCGGGUGAAAAGCCCGCUCGCCGGAAGACCAAGGGUUCCUGUCCAACGUUAAUCGGGGCAGGGUGAGUCGACCCCUAAGGCGAGGCCGAAAGGCGUAGUCGAUGGGAAACAGGUUAAUAUUCCUGUACUUGGUGUUACUGCGAAGGGGGGACGGAGAAGGCUAUGUUGGCCGGGCGACGGUUGUCCCGGUUUAAGCGUGUAGGCUGGUUUUCCAGGCAAAUCCGGAAAAUCAAGGCUGAGGCGUGAUGACGAGGCACUACGGUGCUGAAGCAACAAAUGCCCUGCUUCCAGGAAAAGCCUCUAAGCAUCAGGUAACAUCAAAUCGUACCCCAAACCGACACAGGUGGUCAGGUAGAGAAUAYCAAGGCGCUUGAGAGAACUCGGGUGAAGGAACUAGGCAAAAUGGUGCCGUAACUUCGGGAGAAGGCACGCUGAUAUGUAGGUGAAGCGACUUGCUCGUGGAGCUGAAAUCAGUCGAAGAUACCAGCUGGCUGCAACUGUUUAUUAAAAACACAGCACUGUGCAAACACGAAAGUGGACGUAUACGGUGUGACGCCUGCCCGGUGCCGGAAGGUUAAUUGAUGGGGUUAGCGGUAACGCGAAGCUCUUGAUCGAAGCCCCGGUAAACGGCGGCCGUAACUAUAACGGUCCUAAGGUAGCGAAAUUCCUUGUCGGGUAAGUUCCGACCUGCACGAAUGGCGUAAUGAUGGCCAGGCUGUCUCCACCCGAGACUCAGUGAAAUUGAACUCGCUGUGAAGAUGCAGUGUACCCGCGGCAAGACGGAAAGACCCCGUGAACCUUUACUAUAGCUUGACACUGAACAUUGAGCCUUGAUGUGUAGGAUAGGUGGGAGGCUUUGAAGUGUGGACGCCAGUCUGCAUGGAGCCGGCCUUGAAAUACCACCCUUUAAUGUUUGAUGUUCUAACGUUGGCCCCUGAUCGGGGUUGCGGACAGUGUCUGGUGGGUAGUUUGACUGGGGCGGUCUCCUCCUAAAGAGUAACGGAGGAGCACGAAGGUUGGCUAAUCCUGGUCGGACAUCAGGAGGUUAGUGCAAUGGCAUAAGCCAGCUUGACUGCGAGCGUGACGGCGCGAGCAGGUGCGAAAGCAGGUCAUAGUGAUCCGGUGGUUCUGAAUGGAAGGGCCAUCGCUCAACGGAUAAAAGGUACUCCGGGGAUAACAGGCUGAUACCGCCCAAGAGUUCAUAUCGACGGCGGUGUUUGGCACCUCGAUGUCGGCUCAUCACAUCCUGGGGCUGAAGUAGGUCCCAAGGGUAUGGCUGUUCGCCAUUUAAAGUGGUACGCGAGCUGGGUUUAGAACGUCGUGAGACAGUUCGGUCCCUAUCUGCCGUGGGCGCUGGAGAACUGAGGGGGGCUGCUCCUAGUACGAGAGGACCGGAGUGGACGCAUCACUGGUGUUCGGGUUGUCAUGCCAAUGGCACUGCCCGGUAGCUAAAUGCGGAAGAGAUAAGUGCUGAAAGCAUCUAAGCACGAAACUUGCCCCGAGAUGAGUUCUCCCUGAGACUUUAAGUCUCCUGAAGGAACGUUGAAGACGACGACGUUGAUAGGCCGGGUGUGUAAGCGCAGCGAUGCGUUGAGCUAACCGGUACUAAUGAACCGUGAGGCUUAACCUUACAACGCCGAAGMUGUU
rnacentral:rRNA from 1 species